rnacentral:rRNA from 1 species
AAUGAACGCUGGCGGCGUGCCUAACACAUGCAAGUCGCACGAGAAAGUCUGCCUUCGGGCGGGCGAGUAAAGUGGCGCACGGGUGAGUAACGCGUAGGUAAUCUACCCCCGGAACCGGGAUAACAGUGCGAAAGUGCUGCUAAUACCGGAUACGAUCUUUUGGCGGGAGCUGAAAGGUGAAAGUCGGCCUCUCGAAGAAGCCGGUGCUCGGGGAUGAGCCUGCGUCCUAUCAGCUAGUUGGCAGGGUAACGGCCUACCAAGGCGACGACAGGUAGCUGGUCUGAGAUGAUGAGCAGCCUCACUGGCACUGAAACACGGGCCAGACUCCUACGGGAGGCAGCAGUGAGGAAUUUUGCGCAAUGGGAGCAAUCCUGUCGCAGCAACGCCGCGUGAGUGAUGAAGGCCUUCGGGUCGUAAAGCCCUGUCAGGUGGGAAGAAUGUCCCGGGACUGAACAGGUUUCGGGAGUGACGGUACCACCAGAGGAAGCACCGGCUAACUCCGUGCCAGCAGCCGCGGUAAAAC